AAAAAUUUAGUUAAAAAAUAACAUUAGUCUGUCCAACUAAAAUUAUGCUCUGUAUAAUUUUUA
rnacentral:tRNA from 1 species